UCCUCCUCCUCCUCUCAACGGAAAACCCUAGCCUCUCCUUUGUGCCGUCGACGGCUCCGUCUCCUAAGUUCUCGAACAGCCGUUCGACCUUCCGGUGUCUUCUCCAACCGCGUUCACCGCCGUUUUCCUCUUCUCUUCUACUUUAUUUUUUUGUUUUCAAAACCCCUGGCCGCAGCUUCACUGCCGCUGCUCUCCGACGUCGAGUUGAGGCACCGCCGUCAGUGGCUUAGCCGCUUUACAACUCCGCAUCCGCCGUCCGUUCAGGCGCUAUCCCUGCCGCUGGUGCUGUCGGUUUUAAAAGCCAUCCCUUUUCACCUUUUUUUCUUCUUGGCUUCUCUGUUUUGGUUCCGACUUCUCCUUUGCUUGGCAGGUGUCUCUGGUUUGGGUAAAUAAAUCAACAUGAUUAGACGGCAUGAAAAAAAAAAUAACAAAAAAUAUUAAUAUGAAAGGCAUGGGUAUAGCACAAACAUGUCAGAAUCUUAAUAAAAAAAAUGAUAAUUUAGACAAAUAUUUAUAUCGUGUAAAAAUAAUAUGCAACGAAAAAGGAAAAAUACAAAUACACCCCCACGGUAUUAACCAAAUAUGAAAGAGCAGCAAAAGCGAAUCAAAAAGGCCCCAACAAAUAAUAAAACAAAAAUUGGAAAAAACCUGCAAUAGCCGUCCACGUAC
rnacentral:lncRNA from 1 species